AGCGAACGCUGGCGGCAGGCUUAACACAUGCAAGUCGAGCGGGCACUUUCGGGUGUCAGCGGCGGACGGGUGAGUAACGCGUGGGAACGUGCCCUCUGGUUCGGAAUAACUCAGGGAAACUUGAGCUAAUACCGGAUACGCCCUUUUGGGGAAAGGCUUGCUGCCGGAGGAUCGGCCCGCGUCUGAUUAGCUAGUUGGUGAGGUAACGGCUCACCAAGGCGACGAUCAGUAGCUGGUCUGAGAGGAUGAUCAGCCACACUGGGACUGAGACACGGCCCAGACUCCUACGGGAGGCAGCAGUGGGGAAUAUUGGACAAUGGGCGCAAGCCUGAUCCAGCCAUGCCGCGUGAGUGAUGAAGGCCUUAGGGUUGUAAAGCUCUUUUAUCCGGGACGACAAUGACGGUACCGGAGGAAUAAGCCCCGGCUAACUUCGUG
rnacentral:rRNA from 1 species